AAAAGAUUAUUAUUAUUAUUAUUAUUAAGGUGGCGAGCUAGCAGAAUCGUUAGCACGUCAGACAAAACUCUUCGCAGCAUUUCUUUUGGUUCUUAACGUUCUGAGUUCAAAUUCCACCAAGGUAUAUUUUACCAUUCGUUCUAUCGGGACUGAUAAAAUGAAAUACCAGUAAAAUACUGGGGUUGAUAUGAAUCGCCUUAAAGAAUUAUUGUUAUCAGAGCAAUGAGCUGUGGAAUCACCAGAGUGUCAGACAAAAUGUCUAGUGGUAUUACUUCUGACUCUUUACAUACUGAGUUCAAAUCCCGCUGUGGUCAGCUUUUGCCUUUCAACCUUUCGAGGUUGAUAGAAUACAGUACCAGUCAUGUAAUGGGUUCGAUGUAAUCGACUUGCCCCCUUCCCUCAAAAUUAUUGGUCUUGUGCCUAAAUAGGAAACCAUUAUUAUUAUUAUUAUUAUUAUCAUCAUAGUUGUAUAGACGGCUGAGACAAAAGACUGACAAAAGGCAUUGCAGUAUUCUGUGUUCGUCCCUCUUGAUUCCUAGUUCAAUUCCUACUGGGCACCAACUUUUCCUUUCAUCCCUUUGGGGGUUGAUAAAAUAAGUACCAGUAAUAUAUUGCAACCGAAUCAACUGACUGUAAUAUAUAUAUAUAAUAUAUAUAAUAUAUAUAUAUAUAUAUGUAUAUAUAUGUAUAUAUAUAUAUAUCUAUCUCUCUCUAUAUAUAUAUGUGUGUGUGCAUGUGUAUGCAUGCAGAAACAUACACACUAUUUUUCAUUGCAGCAAAUCCUAGUGCACUGCAACUAAAUGUAAAUAUUAUCAACAUUGCUGGAAAGGUUCAUCUCAUGAUUUCUAAGUUUAUCAUUUCAACAAAGGUACAACAUUGCUGUCGUUGCUGGGAUUUUCUCUCCUUAUUUUCACGAAUGAGUAACUCUUUUCAUUCACACUUUUUCUUCAAACUAUUUCCUUUGAAUUUUUUUUUUUAAUUCUCGAAAAAAAAAAAAGAGAAAAAAAAUCUAAUAAUGAUAAUAAUAAUAAUAAUAAUAAUAAUGAACUAAUUCUUUUUUGGAAUAUCUUGAAGCACACACAUAAAGCUAGAAAUAAUAGCAUGUAAGUAUUGAAUUGAAGUAUUGGAUAGAAAAAAGUUGAAGGCUGCCUGUGGGCACAAACCUCAUAUCUCCUGUAGAUUUGAUAGGGCAGCAUUCAACUUUUUCUGUCUGAAAGGGAUUUUUUACUCAUUAUUUGUAUGUUGCUAUUUGCAGAUUUAUGUGUGUAGUUCGAGAUAUUCCAAAACAGAAUUGGUUCCCAUUCUCCUGAAAAUUCAUUACUUCUUGAUGUCAAUAAUAAUAAUAAUAAUAAUUAUUAUGAUAAUGAUGAUGAUCCUAUGAUGCCAUUUCAACCUAUUAAGUAUAGGCUUAUGCAGAUACAGGAAAUUCCUUUGCUAAAAUUUAGUAACUGAACUAAUAGGCUUACAAUAAAGUCAGGACUUGCACUUAUUUAUCGUGGAAUGGGGACUCGAUAGUUGGCUAGGGAGUGCUCCAUACAUUAAGAAGGCGAUGUGAAGGGAGGGGUCAUUUUAAGUGAAAGGAGGAGAAAAGAUAUAUAUAUAUAUAUAUGUACAUAUAUAUACAUAUAUAUAUAUAUAUAUUGCAAUGGUGCGAGGUAAAUAACUAAAGCCUGUUAACACAAGAUCCUAAAAAUAAAGAAAAAAACUACCAAAGAUUUUUUUUCAGUAUGAAUGUAUGCAUGUGUAUGUUUAUAUAUAUAUAUAUAUAUAUAUAUGUAAAAUUUUUAAUAUUUUUAUCAAAUCUUCUUUUUCCCUACCCCCAUCUAAAAAAUCAUUUUUUUUUUUUUUACUUUACUUUUUUUGGCAAAGUUGAAUAAAAUAUGUAUAUAUGUAAUGCAUUUUCUUUUAUUUAAAUCUAUCUCCUUCAAUCAACGCUUCUCGUUCAUUCUCUGAUGAACUCUUCUUUAAAUUACAAUGUGUGGUCUUAAAAUUCUGAUAUACAUGUGUGUGUGUGUGUGUGUGUGAGAGAGAGAGAGAGAGAGAGAGCAUGUAAAGCAAAAGAUCAGAUUUUGCAAGGAAAAUUUCAAGACCAAACCUAUUCUGUCAUUCUCUGUCCCCAGUUCUUUAUUUUCCUUGUUAUACAGGUAAGGUUCAUUUACAGGUAAAGCUCUUUGUGAAAUAAGGAACCUUACCAUCUAUUUUAAUGUGCAAUAAAUAAAUAGAUAAAUAAAAAAGUGAGGUCAAUAAUUUUAAGGUGAAUCAUUGUUAAUAAAAAAAAACACAACAUAA